GUGGGGAAUAUUGGACAAUGGGCGAAAGCCUGAUCCAGCCAUGACGCGUGUGUGAAGAAGGUCUUCGGAUUGUAAAGCACUUUAAGUUGGGAGGAAGGGUAGUAACCUAAUACGUUGCUACUUUGACGUUACCGACAGAAUAAGCACCGGCUAACUUCGUGCCAGCAGUCGCGGUAAUACGAAGGGUGCAAGCGUUAAUCGGAAUUACUGGGCGUAAAGCGCGCGUAGGUGGUUCAGUAAGUUGGAAGUGAAAUCCCCGGGCUCAACCUGGGAACUGCUUUCAAAACUGCUGAGCUAGAGUACGGUAGAGGGUGGUGGAAUUUCCUGUGUAGCGGUGAAAUGCGUAGAUAUAGGAAGGAACACCAGUGGCGAAGGCGACCACCUGGACUGAUACUGACACUGAGGUGCGAAAGCGUGGGGAGCAAACAGGAUUAGAUACCCUAGUAGUCC
rnacentral:rRNA from 1 species